rnacentral:snoRNA from 1 species
CCCUCCUACAAAGGCAUUUUGGUGAUUUCCUGUACUUGGACACCUAAGAAUUGGAGACAAAAAGAUGUGGAUUUGAAAUCUGGAACCAGCUUGCUCCCCACAGGUUUAAGAUCACCCUUCCCUGCAGA